UCAAACGGGGGCGGCGCUUGCCGUGGGCGGUGUUCCGUGUCUCGUUGGAUCGGAGAACCCCGACGACGCCAUUGUUUUCGGCGCACGGCGCGGAAAGUACGGCGCGUGCGAGAUCCACGCCGACGCCCGGCGUCGCGACGCCACUCUCGCACGCAACGCCGUCGCCGACGCCGUCGUCGCGUUUGCCCAUCGCCGUUCCACGACUCGUCUCUUGCCUUGUCUUUCACCGCCGAGCUGUCCCGCGGGGAUUUUUCACACCGACGGGGCUUCGGCGCCCGGCGACGAAGGACGCGAACGCGGCAAGUGCAUCUCUUUGCGGCGAACGGGACGCCCGACAUCGCGGUGUAAUCAGACACCGACAUGAGGGGGAUCGUGGGAGGGAGGUGCAGAGACGUAAAUGUAAUUGGAAACAUCCGAGAGGGAGAUUCGCCACGCUUCUGAUCCACGCCGCGCGGUUCGCCUGUUUCUCCCUUCGGGCCAUUCGCCGCAGCGCAAGCGCCAUAUCUCCACUUUUUCUCGCGUUUAUCUCUUAACUUUCGCGUUGACUGGACAACGAUAAUUUACGAGUAUAUAUCGCUUCCCCGGGAAAAAUAUUAUCCUCCAAAACUGCCGACGCUAUUGACUAUUCAAAAGAUCCUCCAUGAUGAAAAUUCUAGGUACAUCGGAAAAUCAUUUUCAAUAUUAUCGCCGGUUAAAAACUGGUAUUGCAAUUUGCAGUGCUAAAAGUGGGACGUGAAUACGCACUAUAAUUAUGCAAUUUUCCGGUUAUUAAUAAUACAUGUCCUUUUUGUGCGACUUCAAAGAUAUUUUAUAUUUACGCGAGAGUACCACCUCACGAACGUGAUCGCGGGAGAAAGCGCUUUCUUUGUGACGGCGUUUACCAUUACGUACGUGCGGCUUUGUAAAUGGUAGGGCGUGCGCGUCAUGCAUGAUUAAGCAGAGCCCAGCGAUAAUGCGCUGCGUGCGGCUCUCCGGCGUAAAGAAGGUGUAAAUACCUCCCGAUGAUUCCUCAUAGGAUCGAAGCGGAUCGCGCAAAGGGAGCCGACACGGAGGCGGCUCCUUUCUCGUCGAUAGUUUCAAUGGAGAGUUUUUCUCAUAGAGCCACAGUCAGCCCCCUUUCUCUGUCUCUCUUUCGCUCCCUCUCCUUCUUUAUUGCUCUCACUCUUUUCUCUCGUUCCCCUUCAUGCCGAUGUACGCGUGUAUAUGGAGAACGAUAAAAAAGACGAGAUCUCUCAAAAGGUACGCGGAGCACCGCCUCUGAUGAAUGCCGCAACCAGUUGGCCACCAUGUUUUCCCUCCGCCGAUGUGUACGCCCUACUCUCUGAAACAUCCCCUGUGCCGCGUCCCUCCGUGUGCCGACUUUCCAACCCCUCGCAAAACCGCGAUUGAACCCUUGUACAUCCAGCACGUAUACUGCGUACUGCGGCGUUCAGAGGUGAUUUUACGUGCGCUUUGUGAACGACGGAAUGAGUAACUUCUACAGUUAUCGAGCAACGUUACAGAAAUGUACACUGACAAAUUGGAUUGCCAUCAAUGAUUCUAAAGCGAGGAUGAAAGAUCAUCAGCGUGCAUUGCGAAAAACUACCGUUGUAAACGUACGCUGUUAUACAAUUUGACUAAAAGUUGAAAUUUUCCAAUAAAGAUAAAAAGUAAAAGAAGAAUGGAUACUAAGAAUGGAUACAAAACGAAAAAACAAAGAUAAAAAAGUAAUGCUUUAAAUGUAUGAAAGUUUGAAUAAUCAGUAUCAAUAUGCUUUAAAGCAAUUCUGCAAAAUAAUAUUAUCAUACGUUUUGUUAACGAAAAAAACGCAUUUCGAUACUAUUAGUUCGUAAUAAUAGAUCAUUGUAGUGGAUCCGACGCGUGUACGUAGAAGAAAACAGGGAUGAAGAAAGAGAAGAAGAAGAAGAAGAAGAAGAAGAAGAAGAAAAGAAAAAGCAGAGCAAGAAAGAGAAAGCCGGCCGAUAAACAAACUGCCAAGGAUCGCGGCACUUUAAUCUUCCUUUGAAGGCAUCGGCCGCUCUUUGCGGCAUUGAAUGAGAACAGGAGGGGGGACCCAAACCCACCCCAUCUCUCCCUCUCUGCGCACUCGACCUCGCGACUCAUUAUGGCAACAUGCGGUAAGUAUGCUUGCUCUUAAGUCUCGGUGUACCCUUCGGGCUGCCCCAAACAGCGUCGUCUCAGUAUUAGUUACACGUGUAUACAGGGUGCCCAUCGCAAAAAGCGGUGGUUGAGGGCCCGCAACACGAUAGAGGUACCGCGUUACGGCACUGUCGAAAAUCGUCAGGAUCGGGGACAGAGUGGAGAAGAGCAUCCCUUAUUUCGCGGCGGCUCGUUGCACGGCUCGGCGCAUCCGAAUAGCCUCCACUCCCUUGAUCCAGGGGUUCCAGGUGGUUCCUUACCCCCUCCCGCCUUCCGGACAUACUCUCGAAAAUUAGGCAUCGUGGAUACCGAGCCGAUGGUACGCGUUUCACAGCUGCGGCGCGAUGAAAACGGUCGGCAAGCUUCGCGUGUCUUCACCUUUGUCCUUCUCAUCCUCGCUUCGGUCGUUCCUGUAUUUUCCCGAUUCUUAUAGUUUAGCAUUUAAAGCGUGGAAAUGUAUUUAAGAUGUAAACUCAACACGAUGUAUUCAAGUUUUUGAAUUUUUAUAGAACAUAAUUUAAAGGAAUUAGUGAAUAGUAAAUUAUUUAUUUUACGUAAUUAUUCACGGAAAUUUGACGGAAAAAUACAUUACAGAAAGUAAACGUAUUUCACAAAGAGUCGAGCAACUCAUAAAAAAAUCGUAUACAUUUAAAGCUGGAUUAUACUUUGGUGUAUGUUUGACUUUAGAAAAACGAAACAUAAACUAAAGAGUUAUGUAUUCUUGUAAACUUAACCGGUUUUGCAGCUGAAAUACAUUUGAAAACUCGUAACA